rfam:Myotis brandtii contig295180, whole genome shotgun sequence.
GACAGCUCUUGGGUGAUGCACCCCGAAAUGGGGCUCCCUCCUCUCUGGUAUUGGGGUGUGUCACUCUAGAACUGCC